rnacentral:rRNA from 1 species
GGCUAACGCUGGCGGCGUGUCUUAGCCAUGCAAGUCGAGCGGACUUAUGGGGUAACUUAUAAGUCAGCGGCGGACGGCAGAGUAACACGUAGCUAACCUACCCUCUGGACGGGGAUAACCUACCGAAAGGUGGGCUAAUACCCGAUGUAGUCAUCCUGUAUAGGGGUGAUGAAAGGUGGGCUUCUGUUUACAAGCUCAUGCUGGAGGAGGGGGCUGCGGCCUAUCAGGUAGUUGGUAGGGUAAUAGCCUACCAAGCCGAUGACGGGUAGCCGGCCUGAGAGGGUGACCGGCCCGAGGGGCACUGAGAUACGGGUCCCACUCCUACGGGAGGCAGCAGGCUAGAAAUUUGGGCAAUGGGGGAAACCCUGACCCAGUGACGCCGCGUGCAGGAAGGAGCCCUUCGGGGUGUAAACUGCUGUCGUGUAGGGAGAAGGGUACUAAGGUGAACAAUCUUAGUACUUGACGGUACUACAGGAGGAAGCCCAGGCUAACCUCGUGCCAGCAGCCCGGUAAAGCUACGUAGA